rnacentral:rRNA from 1 species
GCCCAGACUCCUACGGGAGGCAGCAGUGAGGAAUAUUGGUCAAUGGGCGAGAGCCUGAACCAGCCAAGUCGCGUGAGGGAAGACGGUCCUAUGGAUUGUAAACCUCUUUUGUCGGGGAGCAAAAAGGCCUCGUGAGGCCACAAGUGAGAGUACCCGAAGAAAAAGCAUCGGCUAACUCCGUGCCAGCAGCCGCGGUAAUACGGAGGAUGCGAGCGUUAUCCGGAUUUUUUGGGUUUAAAGGGUGCGCAGGGGGCGGUGUAAGGCCAGGGAAAAAAUGGGGGGGCUCACCCCGGACGAGCCGUUGAAACUGGCUUGCUAGAGUGGGCGAGAAGUAUGCGGAAUGCGUGGUGUAGCGGUGAAAUGCAUAGAUAUCACGCAGAACUCCGAUUGCGAAGGCAGCAUACCGGCGCCCAACUGACGCUCAGGCACGAAAGCGUGGGUAUCGAACAGGAUUAGAUACCCUGGUA